AUUGCCCUAGUAACGGCGAGUGAAGCGGCAACAGCUCAAAUUUGAAAUCUGGCCUUCGGGUCCGAGUUGUAAUUUGUAGAGGAUGCUUUUGGUGAGGUGCCUUCCGAGUUCCCUGGAACGGGACGCCAUAGAGGGUGAGAGCCCCGUCUGGUUGGACACCGAUCCUCUGUAAAGCUCCUUCGACGAGUCGAGUAGUUUGGGAAUGCUGCUCUAAAUGGGAGGUAUAUGUCUUCUAAAGCUAAAUAUUGGCCAGAGACCGAUAGCGCACAAGUAGAGUGAUCGAAAGAUGAAAAGCACUUUGAAAAGAGAGUUAAAAAGUACGUGAAAUUGUUGAAAGGGAAGCGCUCAUGACCAGACUUGGGCUUGGUUGAUCAUCCAGGGUUCUCCCUGGUGCACUCUUCCAGUUCAGGCCAGCAUCAGUUCGCUGCGGGGGAUAAAGGCUUUGGGAAUGUGGCUCCUUCGGGAGUGUUAUAGCCCAUUGUGUAAUACCCUGUGGUGGACUGAGGUUCGCGCAUUCGCAAGGAUGCUGGCGUAAUGGUCAUCAGCGACCCGUCUUGAAACACGGACCAAGGAGUCGUCUUCGUAUGCGAGUGUUCGGGUGUUAAACCCCUACGCGUAAUGAAAGUGAACGCAGGUGAGAGCUUCGGCGCAUCAUCGACCGAUCCUGAUGUUCUCGGAUGGAUUUGAGUAAGAGCAUACGGGGCCGGACCCGAAAGAAGGUGAACUAUGCCUGUAUAGGGUGAAGCCAGAGGAAACUCUGGUGGAGGCUCGCAGCGGUUCUGACGUGCAAAUCGAUCGUCAAAUAUGGGCAUGGGGGCGAAAGACUAAU
rnacentral:rRNA from 1 species